rnacentral:lncRNA from 1 species
UAGUCCCAUACAUAUAAUACACAAUGAACAAAGAUGGCAUCACUACGUAAGAUUUGGCACUACAACAAAUGCCUUCAUGUCCAUGUCAUAGUCCAAAGAACAUCCAAGUGGCAACCUACAAGAUUGAAUGGUGACUGUCACGUUUUGGCACAAGAACAAAUAACGUGCUUGAAAUCAUAAAUAUGCCAAACAGACAAAAGAACCACCAACCAUACUCGAUCUCAAACAUUCGGAGAACCACCAAGGUUGUUGUCACUUGGGCCUCGUGCAUGUGAAGAUCCAUCAGUAUUAGAUCCAUGGCCUGAUUGAUGAGGCAUCGGCAUAGCGGGCAUACCAUUCUGGGUACAAUAAGCCUGCAAAUUAUGUUUGAGUGAAGAUUAAGUACUGGUGGUAGAAGAGUUCAUGUAUGUCUUUGGCAAUUAAGGAACUAACCGCAAACAUUGCAAAGCAUUGACUAGUUUGUGCCAACACCGCCUGCUGCAC